UCAGAACGAACGCUGGCGGCAUGCCUAACACAUGCAAGUCGAACGAGAUCUUCGGAUCUAGUGGCGCACGGGUGCGUAACGCGUGGGAAUCUGCCUUGGGGUUCGGAAUAACUCCCCGAAAGGGGUGCUAAUACCGGAUGAUGUCUUCGGACCAAAGAUUUAUCGCCCUGAGAUGAGCCCGCGUAAGAUUAGCUAGUUGGUGGGGUAAAGGCCUACCAAGGCGACGAUCUUUAGCUGGUCUGAGAGGAUGAUCAGCCACACUGGGACUGAGACACGGCCCAGACUCCUACGGGAGGCAGCAGUGGGGAAUAUUGGACAAUGGGCGAAAGCCUGAUCCAGCAAUGCCGCGUGAGUGAUGAAGGCCUUAGGGUUGUAAAGCUCUUUUACCCGGGAUGAUAAUGACA
rnacentral:rRNA from 1 species